rnacentral:ncRNA from 1 species
UUGCAGACCAAGAAUGGAACUAGUAGAAGUGUUUGUGUCUUUUUAGAGAGCUGAUGGUAGGUGAAAAUCAGCAGGCGCACAUUUUGAACUCAUCCAGGAGUCACUCCCUGAACGUUUAAUAGUAAGGGAUGUCGGUUUCCUCCGUUAUCGGGAUAGACAGUGAUAGCUGUUGAUAAGUGGAUUUGUCUAUAUGACAGGUCAAUUAGAGUGGUACCGCGAGUAUAACCUCGUCUCUAUA